UAAGCAUUCCAUUUCUACAAAUUUUUAAUCGUUAGCUAUCAUUUCUCAGUGUGCUAAAGAGGCUAUUCAAUGGUAUUUUAUAAAUACCUCUGUCUCAAGCACAGCACUUUAUUCAUCACUUCCCUGGCGCUGAAAUCGUCGAAACCCACCGCCCCAGCCUGUUUAGCACACUGAAAAGCCCUUUUAGCACUCUAAUUCAGUGAUGUACAACACUGAUUGGAAAACUCGAAGUUGGUUUUCAAGCUAACAUAUUUCUUGGAAUCCCAGAGCACUGCUAGAAUCGGUGUCCUAAUUAGUGCUAUCAGUGAACAUGAAUUGAAAAUAGAAGUUUGGAGAGCAUGAUAUGUGGUUAGCCGCCGCGGAAAACAGAUUGUUGCUAUGGCAUACUACGAGAUAUAAUGACAAAAAUACCAGCAAAACAUUAACUUGGAAUGGAUUGAUGGUGUCUAGUACUUCAAGGAAAGAACUCCCAGAUCGUACUUCCAAAUAUGCGAGACUUCGAUUUUAUGGGACUACCAAUAUGCAGAUGCUGAAUUCGGGAGAGCUCCAGAGAUAUGUUGCAACACUUUUGGGCAGGACAGGACCACUCUAAUGCACAGUGGAAGUUGUCUAAGUACUCCAUUCUGUUGGUCCAUACUCCUGGGGUAAUAAAGGGAAGUGCAAAGAAGCGUAUCCUCAGAGAAAUAGCACUGCAAAAUAUGUCAUAACAGCACAAUUGAUUACGUCUUAUGCAUUGGUAGUUUAUUGGGGAAAGUAAGCUUCUUAUGUAACCAAAUGUUUAUUAUACUGUGACGUUUAGUGUAUGCAAAUGUAAGUGCUUCAGCUGUAUGAUAUGGCAAUAAAAAUUGAAGAGAAAAACAUUACAAAUUUCAAUGAUGAUUUUAGUCUAUAGAUAC